AGUGAACGCUGGCGGUAGGCCUAACACAUGCAAGUCGAACGGCAGCACAGUAAGAGCUUGCUCUUACGGGUGGCGAGUGGCGGACGGGUGAGGAAUACAUCGGAAUCUACUUUUUCGUGGGGGAUAACGUAGGGAAACUUACGCUAAUACCGCAUACGACCUACGGGUGAAAGCAGGGGAUCUUCGGACCUUGCGCGAUUGAAUGAGCCGAUGUCGGAUUAGCUAGUUGGCGGGGUAAAGGCCCACCAAGGCGACGAUCCGUAGCUGGUCUGAGAGGAUGAUCAGCCACACUGGAGCUUAGACACGGUCCAGACGCCUACGGGAGGCAGCAGUGGGGAAUAGUGGACAAUGGGCGCAAGCCUGAUCCAGCCAUACCGCGUGGGUGAAGAGGGCCUUCGGGUUGUAAAGCCCUUUUGUUGGGAAAGAAAAGCAGCAGGUUAAUACCCCGCUGUUCUGACGGUACCCAAAGAAUAAGCACCGGCUAACUUCGUG
rnacentral:rRNA from 1 species